AGAUGAGACUGCCUGGAAAUAUCUAAUUCUAGGUAUGUAGGCUAUUGUGGUUACUCUCCCACAGUGAUGAGGAAAAGCAUUCUACACAUCCGUGGUUUGUUUUUGCUUCAGAUGUUCAAGGGCCAAGUGCUGGCAUUAAAAAGAGGUUCCAUUGCUGAGCCUUGGCUCAGAUUAAUCCCUGAAUAGAAUAAAAAUAAGUUUUCUUUGGUUAGGAGAACGAAACAGUUUUGGCAUAUGGUGAUAUUAAUUGCUGUUUCCUGGCUGGAAUUUUUAUUUGUUAACUGAGUCUAAAUACAUAACAAAGAGUACUCCAUUUUAUUCAAUGCAAAAGGAAGCAUUUUGCUUCAAAAACAGAGAACGUCUAAAGGGCUAAAUCAAACAAAUAGGGCCCCCUUGGUCUUCUGGAGUAAAAAUAUAGCAUGUUGCCAAGGGAAUUGAGCCAGUACUUUACUUGCUUAAUCAGAGUUGACUGUCACAGGCAUUGGCUUCAUUUAAGUUAGGUAGGCCUCAGCUUAUUUGGUGAUCUGGGCCAGAGGUUUCUGAAGGAACACUUUCUCCAUCAUGACUCCCCAUUAGAAGUAGGAAAGCCUCCACUGUAGGCACCAGUUGCUGGGACUCACAAGUGGGGAGCAUGCUAUUGUGCUCAGGUUUGUGCUUUCAGGCUUCCCAUAGGCCUCUGGCUAGCCACCUUGAGAACAGGAUGCUGGCCUAGAUGGGCCACAUCCAGCAGGACACUUCUUCCAUUCUUAUUGUCCUCUAUAAGAACCAUUGUCUUCUCUAGGCCUAUUGAAGCAUGUGUAGGAGGCACAGUUGUUGUGCAUGUUGGCUCUGCCCACUCAGUGUCUGUCCUUCCCAUGUUGAGCAGGGAAGGUGUGAAGAGGGGCUUUUGCUUGCAAGCGGUAGCCCUUCAGAUGCUGUUGGAUGACAACUCCCAUCAUCCUAGCCAAUUGCUAAUGCUGGCUGGGGUUGUUGGGAGUUGGAGUCCCACAACUUCUGGAAGGCCACAGUUUCUCCCUGGCUGGGCUACACUGACUGGUAGUGGUUUUCCAGGGUUUCAGGCAGGAGUCUUUCCCAGCCCUACCUGGAGAUGUCAGGGAUUGAUCUUGGGACCUUCUGCAUGCUCUUUUCUGGACUUUUGUGAAAAAUUUCAAAUCACAGCAUGAAAAUUAAUUGUUAUGGCAAUGUUUGAUUCAAUACUUAGCCUGGCCAAAUUCACAAGACGUUUCUGAGACAUUGUAGACCUUAAAUAAUUAUUAAUCAGCUGAAGUUUGCUGAGUGACCUCUCCCCAGAAGCUACUGUUGCUGGAAUUGUUAAUAGUACUCUUAAGCUAGCACACACAUUUGGAAACAGGUCACCAAGUCUGUACUUUCUUAACAAGUUCAACAGACCUAAUGGCUUUAACUGUACAUUUACAAAAUCUGCUUCGUGUACUGAGGCUAAAUGUUGCAUUUCUUUUCCGAAAUCAUCACCAAUUAAAAUCAGCAGGAAAUUGCUAUGAUAAAGAUAAAGAUUUUCUCUCCACUUCACUUUCAGACAUGGUGAGAUAUUUCCACAAGAAAGCAUUUUUUGUGCAAAUUGCUUAACAGCAUUGAAGUGGACAGUUAACCCUGCUAUAACAUUGUCUACCAAAACCUAAAACACACUUUCUGAAGUAGGGCUCUUCUGGAGUAUCAUCUGUGUCAUUCAUUUCUUCCAAGUUAGCAUCAGGUGUGCUGUUGUCAUGUGACCUUGUCCUCUUGCACCUAACUUAAUUACAUACAUGGGACAGAGUUUUAUUUCUAUAUUUAGGUUUGAUGCAACCAAUCUGGCUUCAUUCCACAGGCAUUUCCACUUCUUUUGGAGUUUUGUCAACUCUGUUACAUCAACAUCCAGUGUGGCAUCUCUAGCUUGAAUGACCUUGUUUCAAAUAUCUAUGCCAGCUAAUGUUUUGUACCACAUGGCUGACACUAACACACAGGCAAAAAAAGUCACAUAUAAUAAAACUCCAUGGACUUCAUUUCUUAUUUUGGCCAUCAAAUUUAGUUCUAGGAGGUUUUCCAUUGCUAAUUUAAUACCAGGCAAGUGAUCUGCAAAAUUCAACAUUCUGAGCAUCUUGUUUUAGACAUACUAUGAAGAGAACAACCAAUAUAGUUUUUGUAGUAUUUCCUACCACUUAGGACUGGAACUGAACAGGUGGGACACAGUUUUAAUUGUUCCCAGAAAAGGGUUAUUGCUUCAGGUAUGCAUUCAGCAGCGGCAUUUCCACAUAAGUUGAGUGUGUGACAACCACAAGGUGAAAAAAAUUGCUUUUGAGUAUUUUUCUUGUAUUUUUGCUUGUUCCAGUGGCGUAGGAAAGGGGGGGGCAGAGGGAGCGCACUGCCCCCGGCACCAUCUCUGGCAGGGUGACAAGAGGACACCCCAUGGGGGUACCAUCACGCUGCUGCAGCCGCGUGCAAAGGAUCCUCUGCUCACAGCUACACCUCCGCUGCCGCCACCUCACCCCCACAGCAAGGAUGGAGGGGCGGCAGGAGGAGCAGUAGCAGCAGCUGGCAUGGCAGCAGUGGCAGCAGCAGCAGCAGCAAAGACCACCGCCUACCCGAGGCACACCAUCCCCGGUUGCGUCUGCUCUUGCUCUAACCGCCGCUGCCACAGAGUCACCUCCGCUGUCUCUGGCAGAGUGGGGUGGGUGGGGGAGGCGUGUGUGGGCGGAGAGAGGGAAAGAAAGAGUGACCUGCCCGGCUCUCCCUCCCUCGCACACCCGACGCCUGACUCUGGAGAGCCAGUGUGGUGUAGUGGUUAAGAGCAGUAGACUCGUAAUAUGGUGAACCGGGUUCGCUUCCCCGCUCCUCCACAUGCAGCUGCUGGGUGACCUUGGGCUAGUCACACUUCUCUGAAGUCUCUCAGCCCCACUCACCUCACAGAGUGUUUGUUGUGGGGGAGGAAGGGAAAGGAGAAUGUUAGCUGCUUUGAGACUCCUUCAGGUAGUGAUAAAGCGGGAUAUCAAAUCCAAACUCUUCUUCUUCUGAUGGAGCGGGGCAAAAGGCUGGGUGCAUGAGGCAGAGGGAGUGAGCACAGAAUGCGCCAUACGUAGCAGCACUGUGCAUGCACUGUACGGUCGGUUUGCCCUGCCCCCCUGCCCCGGGUACCGUACAUGCUUUGUUCACCCCUGGCUUGUGCGCCAUUGUAUUUUCAUGCCACAUUUGUCCCAUUAUCGUAGGCUUAUGCUGUACAUUCACUGAGAGGAAUAGCAUGUUUUUCCAAUGUAUUAGUUAUCAUCUGAGCCAUUUCUUUCCCUCUUUUGUUGCUACAAUCUGCAAACUUCAGAAAUCUCUCUUGAAUCUCAUACUGCAUUUCUUUUAAAAGUACAUCUCCAAAGAAACGUUGUUUGUUCAACAAGGGAAGAAACUGGUGUAGAGUCUACUAUUUCUGCAAAGCAUUUGCAGAUUGCCUCUCAAGCAAAAAGUGUCACUUCACAAGAUUCAAGCAUUCUGUAAUAAAUUCAUUUUGUGAGGCAGGGGACAAAUAACGAACUUGAGGCUGCUCACGCCUUUUCUGUGACUCCUCUGCACUUAGCACAUGUUCCUGAAGGAUGGGGAUCCUACCUGGAGAGCAGUUCAAUGAGUCCUAAAAAGUUUCCAUUGUUGGAAUCUCCAAUUCGAUGGGAUCAAUCAGUAAUUGCUAAACCAUUUUCUUCCAAGAAGAGUGCAACAUUGGUGAUGCACUUUAACAAGUUGUACCGUUUCACAGCUUCAGUUUUGAUGGAUGCUUGUAAGAUGAUGUGAACUCUUGUCCCAGACUGCAGGAACAUUUCUAGUUCGCCAAGCUAAGUAACAUUCUCUGUGACUAUGACCUUUUUCAUGUUAUUAACUAUCUCCUGAUUCUUAGGACAGUUGUCUGGAAAAGAUCAUUUUUCCAGAUGUAGUGAGUUCUUCAUGAUGGUAAUGGUAGCAAUGAGCUGCUUUGCCUUCCUCUGCUUUGCCUUCCUCUUGCCACACUUUUGAGUGAUAGCUGAUCCACAGCCAUUUGAUGUACUUUUGGGGAUGAUUAAUUUGUUCAUUAGCCUGGAAGAACUGUUCUGUCUGCUGCUGUGCUCGGAGCACCCUAUUGUGACGUUUGGGGCAUCCAUCACCUCACGUUUGUAGUGUUGUGCCCAUAGAACCACCGUGCUCCAACUUACUUCCAACUAUAUUUUGGAGAGGAUAUUGACUGUGGAAAGGCAUUCUGCCUCUAUUUCAGUGAUCCUUGACAGUGAUUUACCAAUCCUACCAUUCCUGGUUAUGGAACGUUUAUCUGAUUCUUAUUAGUUUGUGACUCCAUGCACAUAUUACAUGUCUUCUGUUUAUGAUUUUUGAUACAGUAUAGUGUUAUAAAAAUAUUGUCAGUAUAUUAUUCGCCAACGUGUUGCUUGCUGUUCAGAUUCCUCUGCUUGAAGGCGGGCCACUGUCAGCACCGACACCCUUCACCGGCAGACAGCAGUCCCUUCAGAAGGUGAAGUACAUCACCUGCAGGAGAGGCAAAGCGAGCUUGCUUUCUCGCCUUGCCCACUUACAUUAAAUUUUGCUGCCUCUCUGGAUUGCAUGGGAGAAGUAGGUGGGGGCACAUUGGCAGAAGAGGAAGUGGGCAGAGGAAGAAGUGUCAUGGCAUUUUGUGUAUUCACGCAACAUAUGCAUAUGUUUUCUAAGGUCCCAGGAAAUUUCUGACCCCUGUGCCCCCCUUUUGACCCCAGGCAGGGGUACAAUGUACCCAUUGCCUCCCCCUCUCAUGGGUCCUGUGCUCUGCCACCGAGCUAUGGCUUUUCCCGCUUGUCUUGCAGUAGCUUAUCCAAAUUGACCCAAUUUCCCUUGAAACUUCUCCCGUUGAAGCAAGACCCUAAAAAUGUGUUUUUAUGUGAAAUUUGGUUCCAAAUUUAUUUGGGACAGGAGAGACAUCAGCUUGAACCCUGAUAAAGAAAGCCUAUUUAAUCUGCAGUGUUUGCAUGAAAUGGAUGGAAGAAAAGCUCAUGGCAUCUUCCUAUGCUAUGAAGAUGCUUUGAAGGUGUUAGAUAUAUUUAAUUUGCAUCAUUCACAGGGGGGAAAUGUAAACUAGACCAACUCUGUUCUGAGCUGUAAGAAAUAAAUGCUUCGAAAUGGGGAAUAAGGAGGUUAGGGUAAAGUGACCCGCAGAUAACGACAGGCUAAAGUUUUGCUGUCAUGCAGCACAAAAUGUUUUAGAAUGGAAAAUAAUUAAUGUUGAGUAAAGAAUGGAGCUGAGAUUAUUAUAAUGAGAUACAGUGUGCUCUUCCGACCAUCUAGGGGUCAAUGUUACUUGGUUCCAAAUGGUUACGAGUAAGUAAGAAUUGUCCUGCUAUAAAGUAGAAAUAAUGCAAUGGUAUGCAGUCAGUUUUACAGUGACCUUAAGGUUAAUGGUAGUUGCUCUUAGUAUGUUUAUAAAGGUUUAAAAGAGACAUAUGAACUGAAGAUUUUAAAGUCUAGAGCUACAGUACUAAGCAGACUAUAAUAUUGAGAUUUCGGAAUAAAGUGGCUUCAAGUAUGCUAUGCUUGGCUGUUGCUCAGUAGCUGAAUACUUUCAUGGUGACUUUCCUUUCAGAAUAGUACCACCUCUUGAGUAAUAUAUCACUUGUAUGUCUCAAUCUGAUAAUAGAUUGCACCAGUAUAUUAUUGCAACAACAGAUGUAUUGCCAGUGUAGUCCUCUGCAUUACUGGAACAGAGCACUUGGAAGAUGAUGUAUUUCUCAAAAUAUGGCACCAACCAGAAGAAGGCAGGACCAGGAGCAGAUUUAGUUCAAUAUCCUAAAAAGAAUUCUGAUGCCACAUAAGCUCCCUGGUACAAAGAUAUAAUGGCUUGGCACAGCUCUAAAUUGAAUUCCCGUUUGGUUUUGGUCUCUGGAGUUCACACAAUCGGGUCAUGGCUUAAAUUUAUUUAUUUUUAAUUUAGAAGGAACAACAGCUGAGAGCUGUAGCCUAAUAUAACUUCAUGACUGAAGUAUUUCCAUAGCUAAUUGCUCACAUGUGUAUGAGUAGCUGUAUGUGUAGGACUAUGUUCAAUUAUGAAUGAGCAUAAUCCAUAAGCUAAAACUCCAGACACUUACGAUCCAGUUAUUCUUUGGUCCUGGAAAUUAAGAUGUUUCCAAACGUUGCCUCAGGCUUCCAUCUCCCUUUCAGCUUUUUGCACGCUGCACAAACCUAUUGGAAAAUGUGUUGGUACAUCCAUACGGGGAGCUGGCUUCAGGCACUAGGCCCACUGGCAAACCAACUCUGCAUUACAAGGGUGUCUGCAAACAAGACAUGAAGGCUGGCAACAUCAAACCAGCCAUGUGGGAAUCCCUUGCAGAUGACGGCACUGCCUGGAGACAAUCAGUUAGCUUGCGUAUUCACAGCAGUGACCAGAGGGAGAAUGACCACUGGGAGGUGUGUAGAGAAAAUAAAUGCCAUAGUGCAUCGUAGAAAAACUGGCCUCCUUCAUCUGCCCCACCUACAGAGAAACAUUUCUCCCAUAUUGGUCUCUGCAGCCACAGCAGGUGCUGUAAUUCUCCAAUGGUUUGAUUUUACCCCCAAUGGUGCACUCUUCCAUUGUCUCCCAAGAGAGACAGAUGCCAUCAACAGCAUCCAUACAUAUGCUUAAUUGGGGGUAUUUAAUAAUUUUUUCUUUAAAGACCAAGAUCAUACAAUUCUGGGUGGGGGAAAUGUCCGUUUGGCCACCACACAAAGAGUAUUUCAGGACAAGGAGUAUCUAUGUGGUGGGAACUAAACACUAUGUGGCAAACAAAAUAAAAAAAUAAAAAAUAGGGCAGUCAUAUGAGACUAUCUUGGAGGCUUCAAGCAUUGUCCCCCCACCCAGUUCAACCUGGAAUUUAUAUGUUCUAAAUGAGGUAGUUGGUUUUUAUGUCUGGAGAGGGGGAUAAACUUGAAACAGUCCUGUUGGUCACUGAUUAAAGCUGACUCAGCCUAGCCCAGAAAAGUCUCUUGGUUGCCGCCUCUCUAUUAACAGCUUUACAUGGGUCUAUAUGCCUGAGAACAUGUAUUCCUUUCAGUCUUUGGUUUACCUUCUGCUAAAGUUUCUCACUGAAAUAGGUUUUCUCUUGACCAAAGUUUCUGGUAGAGGGAAAAGCACCUGCAAUGGUGUACUUGAAGUAUUUUAAAAUGCAUUAUACUAGAAGCAAGUGUCCAGUGCCCUCUGUCACAGUGGCUUGAUUAACUUAGAGGUCACCAACAACUCUACAACUUCUAAAACUUAAUCAGAGCAGGACCUCAGAAGGGUAUGUGUAUGUUGUCUCCACUGCCCCGUGAUGUAUAGAUUCAAUAUCAAAUAUCUGAGAGCUAUCUCUGAAGUUGAGAUAUUGGAGCUUAAUCCCAAGAUUCUGAUUCAGUACCUGCUUUGUUAGAUUGUUGUCCUAGAGCAGGGGGCUGCAGGCCUAGGUGGGGGGUGGACACUGAGUUUUUCCAAGGGGUCCAUCAAACUUCACAACUAAUGCCCAGACACUCAGCUUUCAUUUCAAAAACAAUAAUGCAAGUUUCUACCUGCUAUGAAAGGGAAGCAAAACUUGAUUCCUGUGAGAUGAGCCAGCCUGGCUGUCUGCUCCCACCUUUUUAACCAGUGAAUGAAGUGAGGGCUGCAAUUGAUGAGUGAGUUGUUUGGACACCAGCCAAUAGAUAUGAAUCCUAAAGUGUUGCCAUUUCUCCCUCCAAUUUAAUGGACUUUUAUUUCCUGCAUGUGUUUAGUCCUUGGAAUAUCCAAAGUGUACCUUACUCCAUUCUAGCAACCAGAACCAGUACUUCCUAAUCCGGUACCAGUUAUUUUCUGUAGUUACUUCUACAUAGUAAAUGUUAAAGGAUUCCUUUUCCACACACGGGAAAUGCAAACUGUGAAACUUUGCAGAGAGACUCUUCAAAUCACGUCCAAAUUUCCGUGCACCUUGCUUAGUGUGAUGUUCUUUUUCUAUUUCUGUGCAUCACAGUGCUAUACUUCAUGACACAGCCUUUUCUGAUUGGCCAAUAUACAAAGUAAUAGGGUGGACAGAAUACAAAAACACACUAUUUAGGAGAAAGGUCUUGCAAAAGUGUGUAGCCAAAACUACAUGCAAAAGUUCGGAGAAAUUCUCAGUAACAUACUGAUGAAGUUUCAUGAGGAUUUUUUUUAAAGCAACAACAACCACAACUCCCAAAUUGCUGCAGAAAUGUGGAGAACUGAAUUUAAGAUUGGAGAAAAUGAGGAACUGAGAGAGCCGAUCCCUAGUAGUCACAUAGCUGCUCACCUGGGAUGUAGGUGCUUUAGACUGAGGGUCUCUUAUUGUAAGAGAAUUCAACCCCCAGCGUGUCAGUCCCUUUACUAGGAAUACAUAUGUAUACCAGAGAUUCUACAUGUUAUUUUGGUGUUAACUAGCGUUCAAAACGGGAACGCGGGGGGCACUGUGGGUUAAACCACAGAGCCUAGGACUUGCCGAUCAGAAGGUCGGCGGUUCGAAUCCCCGCAACAGGGUGAGCUCCCAUUGCUCGGUCCCUGCUCCUGCCAACCUAGCAGUUCUAAAGCACCUCAAAGUCCAAGUAGAUAAAUAGGUACUGCUCUGGCGGGAAGGUAAACAGCGUUUCCGUGCACUGCUCUGGUUCGCCAGAAGCGGCUUAGUCAUGCUGGCCACAUGACCCAGAAGCUGUACGCCAGCUCCCUUGGCCAAUAAAGCGAGUUGAGCGCCGCAACCCCAGAGUCGUCUAUGACUGGACCUAAUGGUCAGGGGUCCCUUUACCUUUACUAGGGUUCAAAACAGAUAAGCUACAGGAUAUAUGUUAUCAGAUCUCCUACUGUUGGGUUUAAUUAUUAUUUUUUAACUUGAAAGUUUUUCUGGGGAAGCAGCGGUUCUGGAACAUGGAAAAUGUAACCCUUUCCCUCUGUGCCAUUUUCCCAGUCUCAAUCACCCCCAAACUGCUAUUAGCCUCUCUGUGAGGGAAAUACAGGUACCUUUUGUAUUUGCACAUUUCUUUCUCAAGUGGGGCUAAUAGCAGCUUUGAGUGGGUGGGUUUGCUCUAAACUGGAAUAAUGGUAAGUGGGGGGAAAUAUUAAACACUCCCUCCCCGGUACUGCCGCUCCAAUCCAAAUCAACCCUCCCACACGGUUGCUUUGACAAUACAAUAAGUAAGUAAAAAUAAGGCUGCCAUGGGAUUAAAAGGCGGUGCCCUAUUAUCUGACUAAUUGUGAUGCACCACAUACUAAGUUGAAACAACUUAUUUGUCACACUUGGGAAAGAUCAAGACCUUUUCAGCAAGAUGUUUGCAUCCCACAGGCCUGGAGGGUUGCCCUCUGCACUCCGUACAUAAUGCGUCCUGCUAUAGGCAUCAGCAGACAGGCCAAAUGAGACAUGUAGCCUUGGACCACCUUCUAUUGCUUUUUCAUGGUGUGUAGUAAGUAAAGGUUAAUUGUUAUACUUUUUGUAAAAACAACAACAAUGAAACCCUUUUUACUGGACAGUAAGCCAUCAGAUAGAGUUCCGAACACUGGAGUGUUUAUACGGUGGUUGGUCCCCCCGCCCGUUAUUGCCCUCCUUGUACUGUCCUUUUGACAACAGCCCCUAAAGUAUUCAAAAAUUACUUUGCAGGCUCAUGAUGUAGUGUCGCCAAAGGCUAAUUGACUCGUCCUUCUGUAAUGAUCCGUGGCUGUGUAUACAGAUGCCAUUGUUCCCAGUCAGCUGUAUACAUGGACCUUCAGCUGAAUGCUGGGGUUUCAUUUCAUAACUAUUGGCUCUCUCUUUGUCCACCUAGAUCACCAAAGGAGACUAAGGCCACAUUCGGACCAUACAUUUAAAGCCCUUUAAACAGCUGUGGCUUCCCUCAAAGAAUUCUGCAAGCUGUAGUUUGAUAAAGGUGCUGAGAGCAGUAGGAAGACCCCUAUUCCCCUCCCCAAGCUACAAUUCCCAGCGUUUGAUUUGAUUUAAUAUUUGUAUUUUGUUUUUCCAACAGCAAAUGUUGUGCUGGAUGACAUCCUCUCUCUGGGAAGGGACGACUUCUGUGCUCAGUGCAGCAGGCAACACACUCUCAGGCAAAAUGAUAGUUCGUAGUUCCCAGUGAAGAGGAAUUGACUGUUAAACCACUCUGGGACUUGUAGUUCUGUGAGGGGAAUAGGGGCCUCCUAACCACUCUCAGCACUGUUAACAAACUUCAGCUCCCAAAAUUAUAUGGGUGAAGCCAUGACUAUUUAAUGUGGUAUCAUAGUGGUUUGAAUGCAUGGUCUAAAACAACGUAAUUGCUUGUAAUAUUUCUUAAAAUUCUUAAAAUUCCAAUAUGUGGACAUUAGAUAUUUUUAAUUAAGAAGCAAAUAUACUUUUCUGUGCCCAAUGCAUGCAGCUGUGUUGAUAGCUGUGUCUGUAGCUCAUAGGAAGGUGUCCCACGGCUUGUAGAAAUCACACUCAUUUCUCCCUGUAUCGCCGCCUAGCAGGCAGAGAGCCCUUAUAGCUUUGUUGAUAACACCCUAUCCUAACUUUUAUAAGGCUUGCUCACACACUGCACUGAACACAGGUACAAGCUGCUUCUACCCAUGUACAAGCAUUUGUGUGAGUGGAUUUGUAGUGCUCAACUAUUGUGGACACAGAUUGUACAUAUUGAAUGGGACGUGCAAAGGUGUGAACACCCUUGUAGAAAAUAAUCUAGGGGCUGUGGUGCCCUCUUCUAUCCUCUGUUAUGUGGCUGAUCUAAUUCCAGAAUGUCAACAGAUGCAGAAACAUGCAGCGUUAAAAGCAUUCUUCCCACUACUGGAAAAAAUCCAAAGGUCCCUAGAUGGGCUUCUCUGAGAAGACAACCUUCUUUCACCUCUGAAGUCCAAAAGUCAUUUCAGGCCUGCCUGAAUAAGAUUCUUUCCCAGCCCCAUUAAUCAAUGACUAGCAGGUGUCCACAGCAAUCAUGAUUACAUGUGCCAGGCUGCAGAAAGAUAACUCAGAAACAAUUUAAGGUCAAGGGUGGGGCAGACAUCUGAAAAAUAACAGACACCAGACCCGGCAAAAGUACUUUACACCUGUUUUUUUGAUUGGCUGAGUUCUCUGAAAAGGGGGGUAACUCACACCUCCUCAGUAUCAACUUGCAAUUCUCCUUUGUCGAUCAUAAUACCAAGCAUGCAUAGAGCACAUUUCUAAUUCUUAAUGCAUUUUACACACAUUAUGUUUGGUUCUCACUAGGGUUGUAACAAUGUGAGGAUUAAUUGGUCAGAUUAUCCCAUUUUAAAACUUCUAAUUGAUCAAAAACUCUAAUUAAUCAAGCAGCAGAUUAUCUGUAUUUGUAACACGUUAGAAAGUUAAGGAUGAAAGUUAAGGAUUUUACCGAACUCUGCAGCUUAAUUCCCCCCUCCUCUCCUCUGCAGCCCCCCACCUCAAUAUCUGCUCCAGAGGUACACAAGGAGAGGAAGGAAAAGCCCAGCUUUGUGAAUGGAACUUUACGCAUGUAGCAUUGGACACAACCCCUGAUCUCAGAAGAAGUGUUCAUCUUAUCGCACACAAGAAAUUAUGCUGCUUCUAAGAUGGUGUGUGCUGUGACUCAUAAGGCAGACAACUGAGGACAUGCAUUUCCUCUUCACAAUGAUUGUUUUAUUAAUAUACAAAUUUCAAUCAUUAACUUAUUCAUUAAAGCUCAUAUAAUUAAUUGAGUAAUACUUCCUGAAUGGGUAGACUACACUGAUUCCUGGUCAUUGUUUGUAAGCUUGCCCAAACUAAAGUCACACGGUGAGAUGCGAACUGAGGUCUCCAGACUCAUACUCUCAGCACAAUUUUAAAGCACAGUUUUAAUCCUGCUUUUCCUAAUACUGAUCAGGGUGUACCCUGGAGUCUUUCAGAGACUCCUUACCUCUUUCCUCAACAUCCCAGAGAUAUCACUGGGAAAGCUGAUUUAAAAGCCAUGUCUAGAUGCCCCAGCUUCACCACUGGAAUUGGUCUUACACCAGGAUGGGGGGGGGGCUGGAAAAGUCUUAAUGUUUACUGCUUCAGCUCCAGGGCUGGCUCAGAAAACAAGCCUCAGCAUAACUUGCCCGUAGCUGGACUGGCUUAGGAUCCAGCGGAUCCUAGGCUGGCUUGGCCUUGCUUGCUCCCUCCCUCCCCCUCAAAACCCCAUUUCAUAGGUUUAUGCUGACUACCCACAGUAAGGAUACAUCUAGUGAUAGCUUCCAUUCUGAAGGGUUGGGUGGAGAUCUUAGUGAUAGUGAAGGUUCUCCACUGGCAGAGCUGGGUGAAGAGACACUUCUGCCUCAUCCAACCCUCCUCCAGCAUGACAAUUUGAGUUAUAGAUUGGUCUGCCCAAAGCCUUAUUGUCUGCAUCAUGUUCCCCUGCGCACCCACCCCAAAAUGGUAGACCAGGGAUAGAAAACCUACAGAUGUUGGUAGAUUUCAACUCCUAUCCACACUAGCCAGCAUAGUCAAUGAGAAUUGUGCAAGACCUAGAGAGCCACAGGUUCCCCACCCUUGUUGUAGACUUUCCUCAACUGGAAGCUGAGCUGGUCCUCUGAUGAUUUGGGUUGCUCUUUUCUACACCUUGUCUAGCUCUUUCAUAUGGUUGCCACUCAGCUGUGGGAUAGAGACAGUCGUACCUUGGUUUUUGAGCAGAAUGCAUUCCAGAAGUCAAUUCGACUUCCAAAACAAGGUGCAGGUUCCGAUUGGCUUCAGAUUGUGCAGGCUCACCGGAAACAAUAGUGAAAGCUGCAUCAGACAUUCAGCUUCCAAAAAAACAUUCAAAAACCAGAACACUCACUUCCGGGUUUUGAUCAUUCAGGAGCCGAAACGUACAAGUACCAAGGUGUUCUACAACCAAGGUACGACUGUAUUCAGAACUGAGCACUUUCUGAAGGGCUGCCCAAAAGGUUAUUUGAAACCACUUUUAGUAGCUAAGGAUUUGGGAGGGAUGGAGGAAUGAAAGCAGUUUUAAUCAUCCUAAUAGGGUUUAUGACUUUUGACAUUGUUGCAUGCACCAUGCAUUUAGGAGGAGGAAAACUACUAAAAAAUAAUAAAUAAAUAAAGGGAGCCACACAGUACAAGGUGGUCUGUAUUUCCAGAACACAGGAGAUAUUGCUAGGCAUGUUGAAAGCCAUUUCUGAGUAGUGUGCAAACACCAAAAGGAUUGUUUAAGCCUUAUUUGAAAAACAUUGAUAGUACAAAUAUUUAUUCUGAGUUUGAUAUGAUUAUGGAAUUAUUUACACUGGAAAGUGGGUGAAUAGGGGGGACAGAAUAAAAAUACUGAUUUAAGAAAUAGUGCCUCUUCUGUUGUCUUUGACAGGGAAAGAAUAGGCUAUGCUGUUCUGCAGCAUUAAAUCAAGCAAAAGAGUGAAAAAGGCAACAAAUUGUAAGCUAUUCCAAUUGUUUGUUUCAUUAAAAAUAUUACAGUUAACAAAUUGCAGCUCAGAAAACAAGCUGUAUGAAUCUGGAUCAUCUCCAUAUUUGUCAUUCCAAAAAUGUAAUAAAUUAAAUGAGCUUCAAAGAAUCUCUCUCAUUGUGUUCCCCUCUUAACCAGGUUACUUCCCGUGAGCUUACAGAAGACCAUCACUGCAACAAGAACAGCAGUAGCUUUGAAUAACGCCAGUUCCCACCUAUUAUCAGCAGCUGGGAAGCUUUUCUAUGCAAAGGUAUUUUCACCCACCAGCAAACAUUGCAUAGAGUUAUUUCUUGUGGGUCUCUAUGGGGGGGCGGAUUUUCCAGUGUGAAAUGCCAUGAUGAAGGAACUCUUGUCUCCUGCCUUUCUGUGACACCAUCAUGGCACGCAUUUCCAAGUGUUUGGCCAUUUCUCCCUGCCUGGCUUUCAGUGUUCCUUGCAGAGAGUCCCAAGGAUAAAUGAAGCCAAGAUGCCUAUGCCACAAGGUGGUAUUCAGCUCUUAAGAGCUGUAUCCAACUAAGGCUGAAUACGCACUAUACAUUUAAAGCCCAUAAUUUCCCCCAGAGAAUCAUGGAAACUGUAGUUCAACCACUCACAGAGCUACAAUCCCUUCAGCCUUAAGAAAUGACUAUUAACAAUAUUUUGGGGGGUGAAGUCAUGUGCUUUAAAAGUAUGGUGUGUAUCCAGCCUAUGUUAUACCCAGAGUAAACCUAUGGAAAUUAAUAGACCUGACUAACUUAAGCCCAUUAACUUGAAUGGCUUCAUUCCAAGUAUAACUUAGUUGGAUGUAAUCUUUAGCCUGCAUUUCGUCCUGAUACUGGGCAUCUACUGUUAGGAUGGACUCUUAGCAUGUAUCUAAGCCUAAGCAUGUACAAAUGAAACAAGCACCCUCCACCCACUACCCUGCCUUUUCUCUGUUGUUUCCCUUGUGUCAAAUAUUACACGGUAAACUUCUGGGCUCUAUGAGCAAGUGCCUCAGCCCUCAAGCAGAAAAUUAGGAUGUGUAGUGAAUUUAGCAGCCCCACCCCAACAACCCAUAGGGCUUCCUGCUGCUGUCACACCGCGACCACACCACACAACCACCCCCUGCAGCGAAGACUUGUGGGUAAAUUUAUUGCUGCAGUAGCUGCCUCCUGCCCACUCACAAGGAAUACAGCACCUCUAUCAUGACAAAAGCCGUCACUGGCACUCCAACCAAGUUCUCCAGGCCCACCACAACUCACUCUGAGGAAAGGAUCCUUCAUGAGAGUGAGGCAUUUUGACUGAUGUGGGCUGUUAAAUUUUAAGCAGGCUUUGUGAAUGUUGCAGCAAAGCAGCAAUGGCACGGACAAUCUGUGCAGCCACUUCAUCCACAACGUUUCCCUCUGAUGAAGGGACACUUUCUCAGAGCACAGUAUGAGAGCAACAGGCCAGGGAGGAUGGGGAGGAGCCAGUGACAGGAGGGAAGAGGAGGUGGCAGAAGGCAGGAGGAAGGGGUGGUGACCCAUCAGGGCUGUCUUAAGCAUAUGUGGUGCCUGGGUGCAAAGAUCCACCCGGCGCCCCCCCCCCCAGUUGCCCAGUCCCAGGCACGCAGGAGGGCGGAACCAGCCAUCCUCCUCAGCGUCUCGCUGGCUCGGUCGCCCCCAAACUCGCAGAAGAGCCCACCGUGGUGCUCUGACUGACAGGCAGGCUCUUCCCCGGACUCAACUCUCAGGCCUCGGACUCUUGGCCCGGUGCCCCUGAGAGCCCGGCGCCUGGGUGCCCUGCACCCCUAGUGCCUAUGGGUAAGACGGCCCUGUGGCCCAUCUAAGAUGUCCCUAGUAAGUUCCUCAGAACAGGGACAGAUCCUUUUAAAUCCCGCAACUGCUGUGCACACUGAUGGUGCUAAAUAAACUUAUCUGCUGGACUGGUCCCUUUUCUUUCCUGUCUCUUUCUGUAUUUUGCAGUGAAAAUAGGUAAUACAGUGGUGCCCCGCAAGACGAAUGCCUCGCAAGACGAAAAACUCACUAGACGAAAGAGUUUUCCGUUUUUUGAGUCGUUCCGCAAGACGAAUUUCCCUAUGGGCUUGCUUCGCAAGACGAAACGUCUUGCGAGUUCUUGCGAGUUUGUUUCCUUUUUCUUAAAGCCGCUAAGCAGUUAAUAGCCGCUAAGCCGUUAAUAGCCGCUAAGCCACUAAGAGCCGCUAAGAGCCGCUAAGCCGCUAAUAGCCGCUAAGCCGCUAAUAGCCGUGCUUCGCAAGAUGAAAAAACCGCAAGACGAAGAGACUCGCGGAACGGAUUAAUUUCGUCUUGCGAGGCACCACUGUAUGGCCGAAAACUACAUGGGAAGAGAGAGGAAAAACUGUGCAGGGGAAAAGGAAAAGAAAAGAAAAGAAUUUAAAUACAACUUGACAAUUGCAAUUAAAUAACCCAAAUCUCAAGUUUGGCAUUUUUCUUAACACCCAAUAUGAUUGAUAUUUGUACUUCAGAGCCUUUAAAAUAUUUAAGCAGAAAAGAAAUGAAAUGAACUGCAACCAGUUAAGGUCAUCGACUUAGGACAAAAAAUGAUAAAAUAUUAAAACGACAGAAACAAAUUUUCCAACAGUUAAUAUACCAAGACUUCAUAGAGAUGUAUUAUUCAAAGCAGAGAAACAUGUGUGACCCCUCGUCUAUUGCAUAAUACAGAAAGGAUAUGAAAGUUCAAAUCUACACAAGUGUAGGUAUCAAGCAGGAGAAGAAAAGGACACAAUAUGCAUACCAAAGGCUGAUUAAAUAAUUACCAUUAGCGGUUAUUGCAGAUGUGAAAAUGACUUGUCCAAUUUGGGGGGGGGGGUAGGGGUGGAAUUGCAGUCAUGAAUAACUGAUAUACAGUUCAAACCUAGUGUCAAAAUAGGUGGCCUAAAAUGAACUCUGACCCUCAAGGUGAAAUCUAUGUCUUAGUGAUUUGCAUAGUACAGUUUAAAGUGAUAACCAUUACUUUGAAAGUAAUGACCAAAUGGGCAUUCCUUUCACUUCAGAAUCAUUGUACGGUAAUUUCACCAGUGAAAUCUAACACUAAUGAAGUGUCAUUGUAUUGUUUUGAUUUCCCCCCCUUAAGUUUUAAGAAAGGGAAUGUCAGUAAACAAAUCAAUGAACCAAUGUGAGUUGUCUCAGGCUUAAAGCUAAUUUAUUUCACCUUCUUAAUGCUAAAAUAGCAGUAGUGAUUGGCAUGUCUAUUCAGAAGUAAGUUCCAAUGGGACUUACUGCCAGGUAAGUGUGUAGGAUUGCAGUCUCAAAGAAGAAAUGGUUUUCAGCUGCAUAACUCAUUGCCUCAGCUUCUGACACACUGCCAGGAAAUGAAUAUUUGCUUCCAUCAUGGGCUGAGCAAAUUCAACUGAGCAAAUCUGCCUCACUGAUUUACCUGAGAGGUCCUCAACGGGGCCUGUUGCCUAGCCGGAUGUUCAACUUGGUGGUGACCUCUACAUGUUUUGGGCUAGAAGUCUUUGCUGCGGCUGUGCUGGCUAUGGCUGAUGGGAGUUGUACUCCAAAAUAUCUGGAAGACACAGGCUGGUGAAGACUGACGUAGCCAAAGAGUGACACCAGGGAAGACUAAUGAGGAG